AACUUGUUUAAUAUGCUUGUUUCUAUCAUGUAGACUGAAAGUGACCUUCAAAGACCUUCAAAGUGAAAAGACUGAUUCUUGUGGUGAUUCACAGUGGACCCACUACACUUGAUGUUUAUGUACAGCUGGACGUGGAAUGUAAUGAUGCAGAGGCUGGACGAGAAGACAUUAUUAAAGGAGCGUGUGUUUACAUGGAUGAAGAUCUAGAAAACCUGGUCCAGGAAUAUGUGGUAUGUGUAUAUUUGCAUGUGAAUCAUAGCUUGAUUUUCUCUUUCUUUGUAGUUUAUUUAAGAUUUUUUAUUUAAGUGGUUGACCUAUAGAAAUGUUUUUUUACAGUCCUUCAUUUUGUUUCCAAUUACUAAAGGAAAUGUGGGCUUAUUUGUAUUUUUAACCAUCAACUCUGGGAAAUAUUAUGUAUUUGUUAAAUGUUGUAAAGUUAAUAUUUCUUCUUCACUAACAUCUUGUCCAUGGUGUCACUGUGUUUGUUUUGGCAUAUGGAGUGGAUGAAGAGCGCUUUAACGACGCCAUUGAAGACACCGGCGUGGUGGUUUAUGUCCUGAGGAACAAACUUCAAGUACAGAGGCAGAAGACAUUGGAAUCAUCUUGGAGGCAUCAAUGUGCUGCAGGACCUGGAUGAUGUGGUUUUGGAUGUCGCCAUGCUUUGGACUGAUGUGUACCCUCAACCUCACUUUUGCUCAAAACCUGCUCAAAAAGCCUAUAGUUUAAAAAAAAGUUGUAAUACUUCUAAGGCUGUUUUGAAUCAAGAUGUCACAAUACCAGUGUUAAAAUUUUGGACACUCGCUGUAUUUUUGACAGUAUUUUUGUGUUGUGGCUUUUGAAUAAAAGCUUUGACAUGCAAGUGUUAA